GUUAAGCGACUAAGCGUACACGGUGGAUGCCCUGGCAGUCAGAGGCGAUGAAGGGCGUGCUAAUCUGCGAUAAGCGCCGGUAAGGUGAUAUGAACCGUUAUAACCGGCGAUACCCGAAUGGGGAAACCCAGUGUGAUUCGUCACACUAUCAUUAACUGAAUCCAUAGGUUAAUGAGGCGAACCGGGGGAACUGAAACAUCUAAGUACCCCGAGGAAAAGAAAUCAACCGAGAUUCCCCCAGUAGCGGCGAGCGAACGGGGAGGAGCCCAGAGCCUGAAUCAGCAUGUGUGUUAGUGGAAGCGUCUGGAAAGGCGCGCGAUACAGGGUGACAGCCCCGUACACAAAAGCGCAUGUGCUGUGAGCUCGAUGAGUAGGGCGGGACACGUGGUAUCCUGUCUGAAUAUGGGGGGACCAUCCUCCAAGGCUAAAUACUCCUGACUGACCGAUAGUGAACCAGUACCGUGAGGGAAAGGCGAAAAGAACCCCGGCGAGGGGAGUGAAAAAGAACCUGAAACCGUGUACGUACAAGCAGUGGGAGCCCCACCACUAAGCCAGUGGUGAACUCCACAUACGCAUCCUUUGCUGAGGAUACGGUUAACGGAGCGAAAGCGACGUUCAACCGCAAAAGAAGCAGAGGGGGCUUAG
rnacentral:rRNA from 3 species